UACGUAGGGGGCAAGCGUUGUCCGGAUUUAUUGGGCGUAAAGAGCGUGUAGGCGGCCUGACAGGUCUGCUGUGAAAACUCGAGGCUUAACCUCGAGCUGUCGGCGGAAACCAUCUGGCUAGAGUCCGGAAGAGGAGAAUGGAAUUCCCGGUGUAGCGGUGAAAUGCGCAGAUAUCGGGAAGAACACCCGUGGCGAAGGCGGUUCUCUGGGACGGUACUGACGCUGAGACGCGAAAGCGUGGGGAGCGAACAGG
rnacentral:rRNA from 1 species